GACGUAGGGCGCGAGCGUUGUCCGGAUUUAUUGGGCGUAAAGAGCUCGUAGGCGGCUUGUUGCGUCAGCUGUGAAAGCCCGCAGCUCAACUGUGGGCUUGCAGCUGAUACGGGCAGGCUAGAGUUCGGUAGGGGAGACUGGAAUUCCUGGUGUAGCGGUGAAAUGCGCAGAUAUCAGGAGGAACACCGGUGGCGAAGGCGGGUCUCUGGGCCGAUACUGACGCUGAGGAGCGAAAGCGUGGGGGAGCGAACAGG
rnacentral:rRNA from 1 species